rnacentral:rRNA from 1 species
GUGGGGAAUAUUGGGCAAUGGGCGAAAGCCUGACCCAGCAACGCCGCGUGAGGGAAGAAGGCCUUCGGGUUGUAAACCUCUGUCCUUGGUGACGAAACAAAUGACGGUAGCCAAGGAGGAAGCCCCGGCUAACUACGUGCCAGCAGCCGCGGUAAUACGUAGGGGGCGAGCGUUGUCCGGAAUUACUGGGCGUAAAGGGUGCGUAGGUGGCCUUUUAAGUUGGAUGUGAAAUACCCGGGCUUAACUUGGGGGGUGCAUCUAAUACUGGAGGGCUAGAGUGCAGGAGAGGGAAGCGGAAUUCCUAGUGUAGCGGUGAAAUGCGUAGAUAUUAGGAGGAACACCAGUGGCGAAGGCGGCUUUCUGGACUGUAACUGACACUGAGGCACGAAAGCGUGGGGAGCAAACAGGAUUAGAAACCCGGGUAGUCC